ensembl:lncRNA
CUCAGAAAGAUCAUAGAAGGUCUAGGAUGUUUGAAAUCUAUUACAAAAACAAAACAAAACAACCCACACAAAUCCCUCCCCCCCCAAAACAACAACAACAAAAAACCCCAUGAAAAUAUUGGGCCAAAUUUGGAUUUUAGAUUCUCUUUACACUUAACAGGCAUAACCUCAAUAAUUUCUGCCUGUCUCUUCAAUUGUUAAAAGUUCUUAAAGUACUUUGUCCACUUGCCUAUUUGUCAUUUGCCAUUUUUGAGUCGAACUUGUCACUUUUAUUCUAGCUCAAGGAAAUAUUAUUUUCUUCCUUACUGGGGAUGUUGAGGGACCGCUUGGUUGCUAAUUAGAUCUGUAAUCAGUGUCUUUUAGCAAAUUGAAGGAAAGAGAAACAUUAAAAUAAUGAUGAAGGUUUAGCUAAAAGUGCCUGAGUUCAUUUGAAAAUUGUUAUUCUCUAGGAAAACUUUGAGAAGUACUUAUUGAGGAGGCGCAUUUUGUUAUCCAUUUGUUAUACUCUGCUUGUGUUAAGCCUAAAUUGACUGGAUUAAGAACAGAUUUCCAGCUUUGAAAAAGAUGUUAGCAGUUUGCAAAGCAGGGAAGCAAAGUUGGAAAGAAAAUCAUCCAUAGGAGAUAAAAUAUAAUUUGCAGCUCUUAUUUUCCUUUCUGUCCACGAUCAAACUCUAAUGAGUUGACAAUAUGGCUUUUUCGAUCCAGUUCUCAAUUGUUCGGGAUGCCCCUGUGAGGUCACAGCCUGUAUCUUUAUGAUGUUGCUUUGUUGCCAUGGCCAUCUGUCUGCAAUCCUGGACCUGGGAAUUCUGGACCUGGCAUGCCAGGGUCCAAAUGGAAACUUGGUUGUGAGGGUUAUAUAGCUUGUAUUUAGCCACUGAUGAUACUAAGAAACAGCAAAUGUGGCAAGAAAAAUGGUGUGUGAAAAAAAGACAGGAUCACUUGCAGAAACACAUACUCCAAAGUCUACUCCAACAGAAAAGGCCCUCAGCAAUUUGUUACUACUGCGGGGCUUGAAGGAGAUCGGUAUCUCCUGAGAAAUGGUGAUGUUGCAGCUGACUGCACCAGAGGAACUGUAAACAUGGUAGUCAAAAAAGAGUAUUGUCACCUACCACGCAUGUUCAUUGGAGUCUAUGUAAUGGCACCUCUGAAGUAAUAAAAAAUUGAAACAAAAAGCAUAACACACACAUGAUGAAAACAAAGCAUAGAAUAGAUUAUGAAUGACAGUUAGGUUUACUAUCUCCAAUACAUGAUGGAUUUCUUGGUGUAUAAUGAUCUGCAGAUGGCUGCUUAUAAUGCAGGUUAAAUACAACUGGUG